rnacentral:lncRNA from 1 species
CUCUUCAGUAUGGACGUUUGAGUGUCAUGAUCUCUGCCAUGAUAGAGGAAUGACAUGUGCGAUAAAAGACAUCACUUUACAAGAAACGUGACCUCUGUGGUCACUUUUAUAGGAAACCAUUGAGCUUACUGGGAAACAGGAGCUUUUGGCUAGUUGUAAUUUGAUUGGACAGUGCUGGCAGCAUGGCAGCAGUGUACAACAUGAGGGAGCAUCUAGGUGCAGUGAGAGUCCCUGCAGGGUCUGAGAGCUUUGAAGCACUGAUUUAUUAUUGUAUUAAUAAAGCCAAGAAAUCAACAGCCAACAAGAACAACAACUCCAGAUUCAAGAACAGGACAGACGGGCAGCUGUUGCAGUGACUCAGUAUCAUGGAGGCGUGCAGCAGGACUGCAGCAACGACACACGGCAGAGCUCCAACACCUCUGAGAGAUGCAUGCAGUCAUGAUCCUUGUGAAGGGUGAGUAACAGCCUGCGUACUUCUCAGUGUGCUUUGGCUGCUGCGGUGCUCAAUUAUGGUUAUAUGCCGUAUAGCAUGUGUUUCUCUUGCAAGGUUAGAUGAGGCAUUUUCUUUACAUUCGGCUGAACCGCUGCAUAAUCAGGUGCAGAGCAUGGUUUUUGCACACACAGGCAUUUUGUGCGUCAUGUGACCAGUCACCUUAUUCUAUUUCUGAGACCGCAUAUUUCAGCAGCACUGCAUGCAGCAGAUGUGAAUUUGUCCCCUGAGGAGUAA